CUUGUGAGAGAUUCAAUGAGUCAUUCACUCACUCGAUUCCUUCAAAAACAGGACGCUUGAAGGUCAGUUCCGCUUUGGACUAAUUUGCAAGUAUUUUUGCCGGUGAUGCAAAUAUAGACAAAAUAACUGGAAAUAUUAUGCCUAAAAUUGACACUUCAAACAGCCAUGCGCCCAUACCGACGUUCAGCUGAGCAAAGACUCCCAGACAUUGACUACACACAGCUAACCCAGCAAAAUGAAAG